GAUGAACGCUAGCGGCAGGCCUAACACAUGCAAGUCGAGGGGUAGAGUUCUUCGGAACUUGAGACCGGCGCACGGGUGCGUAACGCGUAUGCAAUCUACCUUAUACAGGGGAAUAGCCCAGAGAAAUUUGGAUUAAUGCCCCAUAGUAUUAUUGAAUGGCAUCAUUUGAUAAUUAAAGUUCCAACGGUAUAAGAUGAGCAUGCGUCCCAUUAGUUAGUUGGUAAGGUAACGGCUUACCAAGACAAUGAUGGGUAGGGGUCCUGAGAGGGAGAUCCCCCACACUGGUACUGAGACACGGACCAGACUCCUACGGGAGGCAGCAGUGAGGAAUAUUGGUCAAUGGGCGCAAGCCUGAACCAGCCAUGCCGCGUGCAGGAAGAAGCAUCUAUGGUGUGUAAACUGCUUUUAUACAUGAAGAAACAACUCUACGUGUAGAGUCUUGACGGUACUGUAAGAAUAAGGGACCGGCUAACUCCGUGCCAGCAGCCGG
rnacentral:rRNA from 1 species